GGUUGAACUACGCUCGAAGCUAGAGGCGAACAAAGUCGCCGCCGAAAGCCACGGUCUUGAGGGGAUUAUGAUGGUCCCCGAGAGAGAGACGCGACCUUCGGUCCUACUUUUCUUAGGAGGCAGCGAACAAGUGUCCAUUCGUGGAUCCCAUUCCCAGCCCUCCCCUUCAGAUUCGUUUCCGGUCCGUCUACCAACGUCAUGACGUUUCUCGGGUAGAGGUCUAUUCACAACGGCCACGGGGCUUGCACCUGUUAGCAGAGAGCAAAGUCAGAAGCUACCGGAUAAGUACUGCAGUACCAAACGAAAAGCAGCAGAAAAGUUUCAGGCAUAUCUAUGCUCCUCUCUACCGAUCGAGGUGUGCAGUAAGAUAGAAAGGCAGACACUGACCUUUGAAUUUGCGGCUCCGAACUCUGCUGCGAACUCUCUCGUCUCACUCGAACUACGUCUCACGUGCAUCAAAGCUCUGACAGAUGGUGCUGGAAGCAACGUUCAGUUGUUCAUCUGACACUACAUUAACAAAUACGCUAAAAAAGAGGUCUAAAUACCCUCUUACUGCCAAGGACUAAAUCGAAAUGUCAAUCCAUCAGACUGUCAAGGCCUCGAACUGCGUCUGAUGAGUGGAGGGCUCACAAGGAAGAACACAGUAUAGGGGACAGAACAUGCCUUUAAUGGGAUGUGAUGCACAGCCAACAGACUGCUUCAAGAAACAGCACACUCUCACAGAUGAAGCCGAUGGGGAAAAACACUGUAGACGGGUAAAAACUAAUGACAUUGAUGAUGACUGAUCUAUGACUCGUCUUGCCUGCAAAAGAAGGAAAUAAAUAUGCUACAGCAGCGAUUCAGGGCAACACACCAAGAUGCGCUGAAGAGUUGCAUACUACGAAAAAGAUAUGGGCAUCAUGACGUGAAAAGUCCAAUGCAGCUGAGCCAGCAGGCCGUUGGCAUAAAUCACUGAGGAAUGUGUACCUAUUUGUCCAUUUGCAUACAGGUCACGAAGCUGUACUAGUACCUCGACUCGAGCAGACUUUUGGAAGUAGACUUCCAAAACCUAUGAUCUUAUUCGUUUUGAAUGUUCAUAGUGAUACAGUUUGUAUUUUUACAGAAGACUGCACUAAAAUACUGAAUA